UAUCAAGAAAAAUAAUAUGCAUACAUCGAUAUAUUGAUGUAUCAAUAUAUAUCUAGCAUCCCUAGCAUUCCGCCAUUUUCCUUUGUUGCGCCCGUGUGGUAUUCGUAAAUUCUGUGAUCAAAACUUAUUAAUUACACAUAGAAAAUGGAGAUGUCUCUAAAUCCCGUGCGCGUGCUCAAGAAUGAGGCGCAGGAGGAGAAGGCCGAAAUGGCUCGUCUCUCCUCGUUCAUUGGCGCCAUUGCCAUCGGUGAUCUGGUGAAGAGCACACUGGGACCCAAGGGAAUGGACAAAAUCCUAGUUGCCAAUGGCCGCAAUGCAGGCCAGGUGGAGGUCACCAAUGAUGGUGCCACCAUAUUGCGUGCCGUGGGCGUUGACAAUCCAGCAGCAAAGAUUCUGGUUGACAUGUCGCGUGUGCAAGACGAAGAGGUUGGCGAUGGCACCACCUCGGUCACUGUGCUGGCCGCCGAGCUGUUGCGCGAGGCCGAGAAGCUGGUCGAACAGAAGCUCCAUCCACAGAUAAUAGUCUCCGGCUGGCGCAUGGCCACCCAAGUGGCGCUCGAAGCGCUGACUGCCGUUGCCCAGGACAACUCUGCCAACGAUGAGACAUUCAAGGCAGAUCUACUUAACAUUGCACGCACCACGCUGUCCUCCAAGAUCCUGCACCAGCACAAGGAGUUCUUUGCGAAUCUCGCCGUUGAUGCUGUCCUACGUCUGAAGGGCUCCGGCGAGCUCAAGUCCAUACAGAUCAUAAAGAAGUCUGGUGGCACAUUGGGUGAUUCGUUCCUGGAUGAUGGUUUCCUGCUGGACAAGAAGCCAGGUGUUCAUCAGCCACAGCGUAUUAAGAAUGCAAAAAUUCUCAUUGCCAAUACGCCCAUGGACACGGACAAGAUCAAGGUAUUUGGCAGCAGCAUUAAGGUCGAUUCAUUGGCCAAAAUCGCCGAUCUGGAGAUGGCCGAAAAGGAGAAGAUGAAGGAGAAAGUCAACAAGAUUCUCAAUCACAAAUGCAAUGUGUUCAUCAAUCGUCAGCUGAUCUACAAUUACCCGGAACAGCUUUUUGCCGAUGCCAAGGUGAUGGCCAUCGAGCAUGCCGACUUUGAUGGCAUCGAGCGUCUGGCAUACUGCACUGGCGGUGAGAUUGCCUCCACCUUUGAGAACCCAUCGCUGGUGAAGCUGGGCGAGUGCGAUUUGAUCGAACAGGUCAUGAUCGGUGAAGAUACACUGUUGCGUUUCAGUGGCGUUAAGCUGGGUGAGGCCUGCACGAUCGUCAUUCGCGGUGCCACCCAACAGAUUCUGGAUGAGGCCGAUCGUUCGCUGCACGAUGCCCUCUGUGUAUUGGCUGCCACAGUCAAGGAGUCGCGCAUCAUUUAUGGUGGUGGCUGCUCAGAGGCUCUCAUGGCCAAUGCUGUGUUCAAGAAGGCCGCCCUCACCUCCGGCAAGGAAGCCAUUGCCAUUGAGGCUUUUGGACGUGCUCUGCUGUCGCUGCCCACAGCCAUUGCCGAUAAUGCUGGCUACGAUUCCGCUCAGCUGGUCUCCGAGCUGCGGGCUGGUCAUGCCCAGGGCAAGAACCAGCUAGGUCUGGACAUGGACGAGGGCAAGGUGGCCAAUGUACGCGAAUUGGGCAUCACCGAGUCGUAUGCCGUCAAGCGACAGGUACUCAUGUCUGCCUCGGAGGCUGCCGAAAUGAUACUGCGUGUGGACAACAUCAUCAAGUGUGCGCCUCGCCGUCGUGUGCCCGAUCGUGGCUACUGCUAGACUAGACUCAUUAAGUAUUCUCUUGUUCUAGGAUCAUGUUUUUUUUUGUAAAACAACCCCCCGCCCCAUACCCCCCAUACAACCUCGUUUAACAUUUUCACGUGUCUUUUGUUUGUUUAUAAACAAUACAAAUAACCCCACUACCCCUACCUCCUCUCGCUAAACACUUUUUGAUUCAUUUAAACGCACUGCUCUCACACAUUAAAUGAUUGUCAAACAACAAAAGAAACAAGAUAAAGCCCAGCUUUGGUAAACAGCAGACUCUGGCUGCCACAGAAGCAUCGUAGGACGAACAAAAUUAAAGCAUUUCAAAAAUGUUCAGCUAACUAAACUACACAACAACAAAACAAACACCAAACAACUUGCAAAUGAAUACAAUUAUUGUAAACAUUAUUGAUAUGUGCAGCGAGGCGAAAGAGAGUCGAACACUAACACACACACACACACACAUACAUACUGUGGUUGUCACACAUUUAUUGUAAAUUAAGUUAACAUAUGUACAAUAACAUCUAGAUUUCAGAUUGGCGCCCAGCGCUGCCAGACUGGGGAUUUUUUCUCCAGCCACCAGUCAGCGCUCAAGCUUAAAACGGGCCCCAUUUUCGUAUUUGUUUUUCUAAUUUAUUUAUAUACUGUACCGCAUUGAUUUCUUGUCAGAAUUGUUUGUCCAUUGUUUUGUCCAAUUUAUUGUGCAUUUUGUAUCCGUGUGUUAUUAGUGUCUUUAUUUUUGUUUGUGUGUGUAAAAGACAACUUUGAGUUUUAAUUUGUAAGACAAUAAAAGUCAAAACCUUAUAAAUAGCCCCCAAAAAAACUAACGUAAAUUGGCAAACUAAACAGAAUUUGUAUUAAACAAUAACAAAACCAUAUGUGAAUUUGUGUAGCAAAAAAGGCAUUUAAAGGGAGAAGUUGAGCAUUUUUAACGAUUUAAAAAUGGAAAAGAAAUGAAAUGAAAAGAAA